rnacentral:rRNA from 1 species
GAUGAACGCUGGCGGCGUGCCUAAUACAUGCAAGUCGAGCGAACGGACGAGAAGCUUGCUUCUCUGAUGUUAGCGGCGGACGGGUGAGUAACACGUGGAUAACCUACCUAUAAGACUGGGAUAACUUCGGGAAACCGGAGCUAAUACCGGAUAAUAUUUUGAACCGCAUGGUUCAAAAGUGAAAGACGGUCUUGCUGUCACUUAUAGAUGGAUCCGCGCUGCAUUAGCUAGUUGGUAAGGUAACGGCUUACCAAGGCAACGAUGCAUAGCCGACCUGAGAGGGGGAGCGGCCCCACUGGAACUGAGACACGGCCCAGCCUCCUAGGGGGGGCAGCAGUAGGGAAUCUCCCGCAAGGGGCGAAAGCCUGCGGGAGAAACGCCGGGUGAGUGAUGAAGGUUUUCGGACCGUAAAACUCUGUUAUUAGGGAAGAACAAAUGUGUAAGUAAUGGGGCACAUUUUGACGGUACCAAAUCAAAAAGCCACGGCGAACCACGG